rnacentral:lncRNA from 1 species
UUUGAAUCGCACCAGAAUAGAAUGAAAGUAAUGUGGGUUGGAAAAUGAGGAAAUCCUUUAGCUACGUGUGGACACGUCCAUCCAAAUGCAAAAGAUGAGCGAUCUUGUUUCAGAAAUUCUAUGAAUGAUCAUUAGCCGACACAGAAACACCAUGGUCAACACAAAACAUGAACAUGAAUCAUUAGGUCUAGUUGUAUUAUUACUAUUAUUAUUU